UCUAAAGCCUUUCCAUACUGGUGCUCGAUGUUUUCAGUUUGGGGACACCAAAAUUAGUGUACCGCUAAAGACACGUGGUCGACACGUUGUUGACACGUUGUUGACACUUUGUUGACACGUGACCCAAUUACCGGCCUACCAAGUGCCUUUGGCGACCGCUAACAGCAACUGUGGAACAGUGCAGUGCCCUUUUUUGGAGCAACGUACGAGUAGUGCCCAUGGAUUAUGACCCCGCGACCCCAAUCUACGUGGCGGUCCGCAAUUCGCUACUUCAUACUGACUGGCGUCCGGCAUCGUCCCGAAUUUGGCCACAAUCUGCUCUCGGGACCCCUAUAGGACUCCCUGACCUGCUCCAUCUCCGCCAUCGUCAAUGUACUGCGCAUCCACCCAGGCCAGGACUGCACUUACUUACGGGAAGGAGUAUUUGCAAGAUGGAACCUGGGAACUGGAAGGCGACGAAGAGGAAGCGUGGGAAUCCGGCGGCAAUGGCUGGGAUGACUGAACUUACGGGAAGGAGUGCUUCCAAGAUGGGAGACGAAGAAGAAGAAGCCGCUGAAUCCGGCGGCAAUGGCUGGGAUGCUGCGUUCUCGAGAGGAAGCGUUAUUUCUGCAUUCCAAGAAGGACGGCACAAUGGUGAGUGGAACUUCGUUGGUGUGCAGCCUUGCUAGUUGAAUUGUAAAUCAACCAUUCUUCCUGUCUCUGACUUCUUCAAUGUCCUCCUCAGUGUCGGACUGUCCGCGUCGCAUUGAACUGGUCCGAUGAGGCUGCUAUUGCACACACAGUGAGGGAACUCCCAUACGGGAACUCGGAAGUACUGCUACAGUACAGGUAAGGUGGCCAUUGCUUAUGUGCGUGCGCCGUUGUCAAACUUCUAAGCCAGCUGUACUCCAACCUACAUGGAGUCUGAAAGUAGUCAGCUGGCGAACUACAAUUGAAGUUUAGACGUUAUAUGCCGCGGCUUGGUCAGCUUUUUCAGUUUCACAAUGCAUUGCACUCAGCACCGCUUCUCGGAGUAUCUUGUCAGGAUAGCUUUGGAACGCAUCCUCCCCAGUGGGGGAACGGCAAAUGUGCUGUUCAUUUUUUAGGCUUGCUUUUAUGGUACGUACAAAUCCCCAUUGAAAAGACAUAGUGGAGACCAGAAACUGUAAAUAGAUGUUGGGAACC